GGGAGUGACAGGCUUAGACAAUAUAAUCAGUAGUUUGCACGCAAGAGAGAAGUGGAGACCUUCUUUAAAAAACUCCAAACCAUAACUGCAAAAUCAGUUAGCUCACCGUAUUUUUCGGUGAAUGAUCUUUCGUUCGCCACUGCGCGAGCCUAAGGUCCAUCCGCUCCAGAGCGCUCGAGUAUGGAGGCCGGGUGUUAUAUAUCGGGCUUUGGCUAGCAGAACCGCUUCGUCCGCUGGUUGAGCUAAAGAAGCUGCCGUCCGAUCUUAUUUCGUCUACUUCUUACAAUCGGACCUAAGCACCAAAAAGUAGCCUACCUCUUGUAGACCUGCCCACUACCUCGUAUUGCACGGCGGUUCAACUCCGCCCACUUCCACUC
rnacentral:tmRNA from 1 species